rnacentral:tRNA from 1 species
GAGGCUGUGGCCGAGUUGGUUAGGCAGCAGAUUGUGGCUCUACGGAAGCAAUUCCUACGUGGGUUCGAGUCCCACUGGUCUCC